AAUGUGAACAACCUUGGCUUGAUGACAUAUGUGAUAGUUUCGGAUUGCACUCCUUUUUCCUUGAUGUUUAUCUUAGCCAUGUCCUUUGUAAUGCUUGUGGUAUGUGUUUCAUGAUCAUAACAAGGGAUUGUUGGUUGUAUUCCAAAAGUGUACCCCCUUGGCAUGUCUAUAUAAUUUGUGGUACUAAUGCUAACCCUCCUAUCAUGAGGAUUGUGUGCUUGUUU
rnacentral:lncRNA from 1 species